UACGUAGGGGGCGAGCGUUGUCCGGGUUUAUUGGGCGUAAAACGCUUGUAGGUGGCUACGUCAAGUCGGACGUGAAAUCUCCCGGCUUAACUGGGAGGGGUCGCUCGAUACUGGCGAGCUCGAGGCAGGUAGGGGGAAGCGGAAUUCCCGGUGUAGUGGUGGAAUGCGUAGAUAUCGGGAGGAACACCAGUGGCGAAGGCGGCUUCCUGGACCUGUUCUGACACUGAGGAGCGAAAGCUAGGGGAGCAAACGGG
rnacentral:rRNA from 1 species